rnacentral:rRNA from 1 species
UGAGGGAAAGUUGCAAAGAACUUUGAAGAGAGAGUUCAAGAGUACGUGAAACUGCUCGGAGGCAAACGGGUGGGGCCUCGAAAUCCGUGCCGCGAGGGCAUUCAGUCGACGGGAGGGAGGACCGACCGCGGUCGCCGGGGAUUUCCGUCCCGGCGCGCGAGACGGUUCCGAGCCCCGCCGACGCAGUUGCCACUCGCGCAGUGGACGCCGCAGCCGGUUCGGCAWUUCAAGUCCGGUCUUAGGCCGGGGGAAAGCAGGCGAUCCGUCGCCGUAACCCCGGAGCGUAGACGCGGCGCCUGACCGAGGCAUGGUCCUCCUCCCUCUGAUGGGCGGGACCGGCGACCCUGGUCACGAUCCGCGACGGUAUCGACCGCGAGUGUCGACCCGGCGCGGGACCGAUCGGAGGGGUCUCUCGGUACCCGCGGGGGAGCGAGUGGCUGGCGGCGAGUAGGUCGGUAGCCCACCCGACCCGUCUUGAAACACGGACCAAGGAGUCUGACGCGUGCGCGAGUCGUCGGGUCUUGAACAGGCCCGGGGGCGYAAUYAACAUAAUCCGGGUACCAUACCUUGGCCCGGUUGACCGCGAUCCUCCSGCCGAGUGCSGGGGGCGCAGCGGCGGGCUGUCCGUGUCUCUAGGAACACCAGGACGGACCCAGAGCGCGCGUGUUGGGACCCGAAAGAUGGUGAACUAUGCCCGGGCAGGUUGAAGCUGGAGGAAACUCUGGUGGAGGGCCGCCSCGGUUCURACGUGCAAAUCGAUCGUCUGACCUCGG